CUCACAGCCUGGUUCCUGGAGCUCCUAGAAGAUAAAUCGAGGGGAACUCAGGCUGCAGACUGCAAGCACAGCCCCAGCACCCCAGUGCUGUCAGGAGGGUGAGCCUGACUCUGUGAGCUCCCCACUAUUUUGUGUGGAUGGUCCUUUCUGUGCUCAUUCAGGGCCCUCAUCUUUCUCCUGGCAGGGCCUGGAUCUGGCCCUUUUGCUGGCCUGAGAAACUUUCAGAUCAAGAGUUUAUAUCCCUGAUAUGGAAGACAAGGAUAUGAAGGGACCCACAUCUGGCCCCACAUGCCCAAGGCCUCCUGGGAAAAAAGCAAUAGCUACACAAAAUGCAAUGGGGCCCACGUGUCCUGUCCUAGGGUGAGAAAAAAGCAAUAGCUACACAAAAUACAUUGGGGCCCAUGUGUCCUGGGCUGACCUGAGGCCACUUCCUUAAUCCAAGGACCUAUCUCCAGGAGACACUGGAAGAGCAAAUGAGGGGAUUCCAUCCACCCACCUUUCCCUGCACUUCCCAUGGCUGACAGAAGGUGCAGGGUGGGGUUCGGUCCUGUGUGUUUGGUGUGGCUCCCUCUGCUGAGCUGAGGACGCCCUUCAGACCCAGGUUGCUACCUCCCUGAGACCCAGGAGGCAGAAGUAAGGAGGCACUACAUGGACAACCCUGCAUGGGAUUCCCACGGCUGACAGAAGUAUUGAUUUUGGGAGUAGAGCACAGCAGCCUGGGCUUGAUUGUCACUUUGGCAGCUACAGCAUUCACUGCAGCUGUGAACGGUAGCAGUGAAAGCAUACAUCAAUGACUUGCUCCUGACGAGAAUGGGAAUGCUUCUAACAUUUCACAUUCAAGAGAAGGAGCCUUGGAGAAUUCGUUGAAUAAUUGCCCGUAUUUUGGGAUUAUUUGGAAGAGUUAAUAUGGUGAUUCGUUUUCCCUGACCACUUGGGGGAACUGACCCACAAAACUGCCUGCCUUAGAACGGUAGAGGGUGGAUUGAGCUUUAAAUACAUUUUCAGUUUGUGGACGUACCAUUGGUUUUAUCCAUUCACCAAUUGGAAAAAGUAUUGAUUGUCAAUUUCAAAUAAGCUGCUAUAUAUGUUUUUGUGUACGUGAUUUUGUGUGUAUGAACCUGUUUCCAAUUUUCCUUGAUAAAACCUAGGAGUACAAUUGCUGUGUGUAAUGGUAAGUCUAAGUUUUGCUAUAUUAGAAAUAGCCAAAGCCCCUUCUAGAGUGAAUGUGUUCUUUUUCUUCUCUACCAGCAAUGAAAGAGAAUGCCACAUCUUUUGUACAAUUUGGUAUUUUCAGGUUGUUGCAUUGUAUCAAUUGUAACAGGUGGGUAGAAGAAUGUUACUGCUGUUUACAUUUGUAUUUUUAUUGAAUAAUUAUGGUAAUCAUCUUUUCAUAUGCUUUUUUGUGAUCUGUGUAUCUUCAUUGGUGAAGUCUUGAAAUCAUUUACUAUUUUAUUGGACUCUUCAUUUUUAUGUGGUUGCAUGUUAUAAGGUGUUUAUUCAUUCAGUAUAUGAAUCCUUUAUCCGACACGGGGUUUACAAGUAUUUUCUCCCCAUUUUUGGCUUUUUUCCCCAUUCCUUUAAGUGUUUUUUUUUUUUUAGUAAACAUUUUAGAGUAAUUUUAAAUUUACAGAAAAGUUGCGAAGACAGUUAAGAGGGUUUUCCUAUACAUCAUGUCCAGUUUCUCCUAUUAUUAACAUCAUGCAAUAAUAUGAUACAUUCUUCAUAAUUCAUAAAUCAAUAUUCACCUGCACAUUCCUGUCAUUGUUUGAGGAUCCCAUCUAGGAUACCAUGCUACUUUAGUCUAAGCUGUGAUAGUUUCUCAGACUAUUCUUGUUUUUGAUGACUUUAACAGUUUUGGGGAGUAUCGAUCAGGCUAUUUGUGGAAUUACCCUCAUUUGGUAUUUGUCUGAGUUUUUUCAUAUAUAGACUUGAGUAAUGGCUUUGGGGUAGGAGACCAGAGAGGCGAAAUGCCAUUCUCAUUACACGAUAUUUUAGCAACAUGACUCAUCGCUGUUGAUGUUGACUGAUGAACUGGCUGAGGUAGUGUUGUCAGGAUUUCCCUCUGCAAGGUUAUUACAUUCCCCCCUUUCUGUAUUGUGCUUUAUAAAAGAAAGUCACUAAGGGCAGCCAUUGGGUAGUAGGGAAGUAUGGUCCACCUUCUUGGGAAGGGGUAGUAUUGACAUGAAUGAUUUGGGAUUCUUCUCAAUGGGAGAUUUGUUUAUUCUCCCCCAUUAUUUGUAUUUAUUUAACCUUCAAUUUGUCUCGGCUGAACUCAUGGUAAUUUAUUAUAUGUUUGGGGUUAUAAUUCAACACCACUUUUAUUUUGCUGCUCAGAUUGUUCCAUCUUUGUCCAUUGGAAGCUCUUUCAGUUGGCUCUGAUGUCCCCUUCACGUAACUGAGCCAUUACAUUUGUUUGUAGCUCUGUCUUACUUUAUGGUAUGACAAGAUGAUGCAGGCUCAUUUUUAUAUUUCCUGUUCCAGUCAUAGAAGAGUCAAUUUUCCAUGGUUUCUGCUUCCUUUUAUGGGAGAAGAGUAUUGGAAUGUGAGAGGUGGGUGCUUGGCAUGCUCAUUGUUCCUGAGGAUUUGUUAUUCCUAGCCACCUCAAUUCUCAGAGUAAAGAUAUAUAUUUUGGUAUAUUAACCUGUGUAUAUACACAUAUCUAUAAUCAGAAUUCUUAAACCCAGUCCCUGUGAGAAAUAGCUUUAGAAGCCAGACAAUACUGCUUCAGUACAGUUUCUUUUAACUUCGGUCCCAGAGACUAACUUCCACAGGUACUUAGGACAGCACCAUAUCCCCAGAUACUCAUUAGAGGUUGUUUCAUAGAUUUGUAACACAGUUAUAUUGUUUUGUCAUAUUCUAUACUCCACCUUGGCAUUCCUCGACCUCCUAAUUUUUUCAAUUUUGCAUACAUUGAGGUUUACUCUUUGUGCUUUAAGGUUUUAUGCUUUUUGACAAAUGCAUAAUAUAUUCCAUUUUUUGACAGCAUGUCAUCAACCAUGACAUGACAAAAUCAAUCAUUACAGUAGCCUAGAGAAUAGUUUCACCUGUCUAAUAAAUUCCUUCUGCUUAUCCUAGUCAUACCUUUUCCCCACCCCUGAUCCCUGGCCACAACAGGUAUUUUUACUGUCGUUAUAGUCUUGUCUUUCCAGAACGUCAAAUAAAUUGCAUCAUAUACUAUGUAGUCUUUUCGGACUGGCUUCUUUUACUUAGAAUUAAGCAUUUAAGAUUUAUUCAUGUUUUUGUGUGCCUAGAUAAGUAAAUAUUUUGGUUGAUGAAUAGUGUUCUGUUGUUGUUGGACCACAGUUUGUUUAUUCAUCUGUCUCUUGAAGAACAUCUUUGUUGUUUCCAGUUUUGGCCAAUUAUUAAAUAAGCUGCCACACCCAUUCAUAUGCAGGUUUUUUUUGUGGGCAUAAAUUUGCAAAUUAGUUCAAUGUAUACCUAGGAGUGUCAAGAAUUUGUUCAGCUUUGUAAAAAAAUCAACUGACAAACCAUCUUUGAAAGUGGCUGUACUACUUUGCAUUCCCAACAGCAACAAAUGAGAGUUCCUUGUUGCCAGGAAUUGGUAUUGUCAGUAUUUGGAUUUUGGACAUUCUAAUAAGUGUGUAUCUUUGUUAUUUAAUUCAUAAUUCUCUAAUAAAGAAUGACAUUGACUAUGUUGUCUUAUGCUUAUUUUUU
rnacentral:lncRNA from 1 species